CUCUUGAGUCUGUUAAUUUCUACACCAAGAUCACAAAACCUUCUCCUGCGAUUGCGAGAUCAGAGUCAUUUGAUAAAAAUCCGUAACAAUUUUGGCAACCACAAAGGGACCUUGUGCUCAGGAUUGGACAGACCAGCUCUAGAAUCUCCAGGAACCAGGUGCCCAAGCGCGCUCAAAGGAAAACUGUCCCUUCCAGGUCCUUCUCACCACGUCCUUGGCAAUACGCAUUGCCGAGCGGUCGUAGUGGAUUAAUCACUCGCAAGUCAAGCCAGAGGUCGUGGAUGGUUCUCCGGGCAAGGGACCUGCAGACGGUGGAAAUGACCCAGCGGAGAAUCAACAACCCCACACUCCAAUUCCUGCUCUACGUCUCAGAUGGUGCUCGACUGGAUGGACGAUCUCAUGAGACUCAGGCCUUUGGCCACCAUUAUCAGAGUGAUCUGUGACCCUGCGGUGGUUAGCACACCUAGAAUCAAAGGGGGGUAUUGUACUGGACGAUUUACCAUCCUGUCUCUGUUCUGUCUCCUUCCCAUAUUGUACUAGGCAAUUGAGCAUCUUGUCUCCAUUCUAUCUCCUUCCAAUAUUGUGCUAGACAUCCUGUCUCCAUUUAUCCAUUUAUCCCACGGUGUUGAGAAUCUCCAUUUAUUUAUCUCCUUCCUGUUCCUGAUCAGUUAAAUUUGGGUAACUAUAUGUCAAUUACAUUACCUUAUAAGGACCACUCGUAAGAACUGGUUCUGAAUGGAGGGUGGAGUUCCGGGCAACGCAAGGGGAUUGAGUGGGAUUUGGGGUACACACUGGAAGAGUUGCGGUUGAGUGGAAUGCGGAAAUGCUUGCAAAUAAAGGUACUGGGUUCGGGA